rnacentral:rRNA from 1 species
GGAUCCAGACCUUUGAUCAUGGCUCAGGAUGAACGCUAGCUACAGGCUUAACACAUGCAAGUCGAGGGGAAACGAUAUUGGAAAGCUUGCUUCCGAUAGGCGUCGACCGGCGCACGGGUGAGUAACGCGUAUCCAACCUGCCCAUCACUUGGGGAUAACCUUGCGAAAGUAAGACUAAUACCCAAUGACGUCUCUAGAAGACAUCUGAAAGAGAUUAAAGAUUUAUCGGUGAUGGAUGGGGAUGCGUCUGAUUAGCUUGUUGGCGGGGUAACGGCCCACCAAGGCAACGAUCAGUAGGGGUUCUGAGAGGAAGGUCCCCCACAUUGGAACUGAGACACGGUCCAAACUCCUACGGGAGGCAGCAGUGAGGAAUAUUGGUCAAUGGGCGAGAGCCUGAACCAGCCAAGUAGCGUGCAGGAUGACGGCCCUAUGGGUUGUAAACUGCUUUUAUAAGGGAAUAAAGUGAGUCUCGUGAGACUUUUUGCAUGUACCUUAUGAAUAAGGACCGGCUAAUUCCGUGCCAGCAGCCGCGGUAAUACGGAAGGUCCGGGCGUUAUCCGGAUUUAUUGGGUUUAAAGGGAGCGUAGGCCGGAGAUUAAGCGUGUUGUGAAAUGUAGACGCUCAACGUCUGCACUGCAGCGCGAACUGGUUUCCUUGAGUACGCACAAAGUGGGCGGAAUUCGUGGUGUAGCGGUGAAAUGCUUAGAUAUCACGAAGAACUCCGAUUGCGAAGGCAGCUCACUGGAGCGCAACUGACGCUGAAGCUCGAAAGUGCGGGUAUCGAACAGGAUUAGAUACCCUGGUAGUCCGCACGGUAAACGAUGGAUGCCCGCUGUUGGUCUGAAUAGGUCAGCGGCCAAGCGAAAGCAUUAAGCAUCCCACCUGGGGAGUACGCCGGCAACGGUGAAACUCAAAGGAAUUGACCGG